UUUCAUUCAAGGGCGUAAUCUAGUCUGUUCCAGCAGCCAGGCAGCCUUCCCUUUAGGGGUUGUGUAGCUGUCUUUGUUCAUUGGUGUGUUUAUUCUGCAAACAUCUGUCUUAAUAAAGAAGUGUGGGAACAAGAGUCAUGACCAACAGCAAGAGGAUAAAGGCUGUGUGAAGUGGAAGCUCAAGAAAUAUCGGAGGAGGUGUCUGGCACAAUGGUGCAUGCCUAUAAUACCAGCACUUUGGGAGGCUGAGGCAGGAGGAUCACUUGGAUCAGGAGGUCAGGAGUUGGAGACCAGCCUGGGCAACAUGUCUUUCUCAGCAUUGCCAGAAGAGAAAUCUGUGGCGCAAAUACGGUGUCAUGUGACCAUUUGGCUUCAGUUGACUGGACCAGCUACUGUCAUCCAUGCCUGGAAAGUCAUCCACAGGCUGGCCAGAAGCCCAUGAAGUGACCUGGGAACGGGCAUUGCUGGACGGUGGCAACAAUCCAGUGGGGUCUUCUCUUCAUGGAAGUCUGAACUUGAAACAUAUAAGAAAUUGACACUGCCACUGGAGUUGUGCAGAGGCCAGAAAGAGGACAGGUGGUAGAUACUGUGGGUAAGGAAAAGCCAGGAGGUGAGCAGGAAACCAAGUCAGAAGUCAGAGGCACAGUCAACGAAGCAGUGCCACGAGGAUGGUGCCAAUGCCUGUGGUUGCCCAGCAACCACAUUUCAUCAAUCUGAAGAUGCACCUUUCCCCGCCCCCCGCCCCGCAUUUUGGCAUUUUGGAAUGUGUCUAACAACAGACGAUGUCUUAUUUGCUGCUUUUGGUCGGGCGGCAGCCCUGAGGUUGCUGGGACUGCCCGCAGGUAGGUGAACUCCUAGAGCGUUGUGAUCCCCACGGGCAGAGCAGGCGCUGGUGGCUUUGGGAACACCGCGGGACCCUUUUCACUCCUAAGAAUCCGAGGGUCAGAUGCGUUUGGCAACAUUCUCACAGGAGGAGUCAGAGGAGGCUCUCCUGCAUGAUGGGUGAGCCGGCAUAGGAAUUGUGCCAAGGGCCAUUAGAUUUUGUAGAGACUCUGAACCCCCUGUCCAGAGGACAGGAGCUGAGGACAACAGCAGGCGAAAAACACAAACCUCAAAGUGCGUGCACUGGAAAGAGACCAGAAAGCCAGAUUGAAAAUGUGGAGGUGUUGCAGGAGUAAAUCACCGGUUUCCCUUACAUCAUCCUCUUUACUUUAUUUACUUAUUUACAGACAGGGUCUCGAACUCCUGGGUUCAGCGAUCUUCCUGCCUCGGUUUCCUGAGUAGCUGAGAUUGCAGGUGCCUUUUUACUUACAAAAAUUUUUUUAAUUGAGAGAUAGAAAUUGUAUAUAUUUAUGGUGUACAGCAUGGUGUUUUGAAAUAUGUAUACAUUAUGGAAUGGCUAAAAUGAGCUAAUUAACAUA
rnacentral:lncRNA from 1 species